rnacentral:lncRNA from 1 species
CUGAGCUACACACAUUGAAACAACAUCGUUGAGUUCGAAGAGUGAUGGAGACAAGAGAUCCGGACUUCUGAACUUCCACUGGAAAAGAUAAAAUGUGCAAGCCCUUCAGGACACUGGGGAGGCUGCGGCUGAACUGAAGAGGGAGACGGGGACAUGCCAGUGUGAAGGCUCCCUGAGGCCAGGGAUGAGACUGUCUCCUGUCUCCUCACCUCAUGUCUUCUAGCACAG